GGGCGUAUAGCUCAGUGGUAGAGCGCUCGCUUUGCAUUCUACAAUCGUUGCGAGAGGUCUGGAUUUCGAUCAUCCAUCCGUCCA
rnacentral:tRNA from 1 species